rnacentral:tRNA from 1 species
ACCUGACUGGCUCAGUUAGUUGAGCGUCUGACUUCAGCUCAGGUCAUGAUCUCAUGGUUCAUGAGUUCAAGCCCCAAGUCAGGCU